rnacentral:lncRNA from 1 species
CUCAAUAGUUUAUUUUUUGUUUGCAAAAUUUUUUGUUUUGCAAGUAUAUAUGGCCCUAGAUUGACUUCAUACAAACACACCCUUUGACAAAAUGAUGGCAAUCACAAGCACUUUGUAUGUACAUUCAAAACUUUAUUCAUGGGUUACAGUGUUGUAGAAAGCUUUUUUCUCCCCCUUCUGAGCCAAUGAUGGGAAUAGACAGCGAAGGAAAACGUCACAGAAAGAGCUUUCUCCGUUUCCUACUGACCACAGACACUCACUUGGAGCAUCCACAAAUCAGCACAACACCAGAUUUUGGAGCUAAGAUUUUUUACAACUUCCAUCAACAUCAGAGCGACUCAUUAUAUCCUAUCUUAGCGAUUCCUUCCCACCUGCUCUGGCCUGUAAGGUGCUAUGAGAUACUUCGGUGAAAGGAUAAAAGAGAGAAAAAAAUAACCUGAAUGGAAAGCGUAUUGAUGAAUACAUUGCUCUGCGUCUGCGGUUGGAGCCGAACACAGCACUGCGUCAUCUGAGUGCCCGGGAAAAAGGGAGGAGGCAGGAAACGUGCAAAACAAAAGAGCAAGUGCUUCAAGAAGUUUCUGGAAGGGGAACAAAAAUGCUCAAGCAAGAAAGAGAGAGAGAGUGAGAAACGAAACUACAGCAUGUGAAUGGACAGGAGGAUCAUGGGUAAGUUUAGAAGGGCAAAAGAAAACGGCUUCAUUCUCGGCAACAGUGCUGUGAUGGACAGGCAUGAAAGCGCACAGAUGGACGGGGCUGCUGACAGAUGGGCAGCAGUGAUGCAUCAUUUUUUCUGUGCAGUCUGAGUGAGCGCUGGCUUGAUUGGAUGAAAUGCUGAGGUGAUGGAAGCCAAUGAUGGUGACAGAGCUGACCGGUGUUUGUGUGUGUGGGGGUCAGUCUGUUUCUCUGUCUUGAUGCAGAGGUGAUGAUGGUGGUAUUUUGGGGAAUGAUGAUGAUGAUGUGGAUCUUUAGUUCUGCAUUUGCUCAAAGAACUUGUAGGUGGGGUUUUCAUAGCCAUUCUGCUGCAUCUUUGCCAGAUGACGUUCUUCAGGAGUCACUGCCGCAUCCACCUGGAAUAGCAAAAAAAACAUGAGUGUUUGCACAUCUAGAAAAUUCUUGAAGGCAGGUGCUUGAUUAAAGCCCUGCUUACACUGAGAUUUCAGCCACGAUUUUGUCAUCUGAGACAAAUUAGGGAAAUCCUAAAAGAUUCCUGAAAUCGUAGGCUAAAAUCGGUGAUCUUUGAUCGUUGGUUUAACAUGUUCACUGACAGCUGCUUACUGCCCGUUGUGAUCAGAUUUUCCUCCGAUGAAGUUCUGGCAGUGUUAGAAAAUUUCAGACACUUCCCUGCAGUGUGACAACAGCUGCGAUGAGCGUCAAUCCAACAGCCAAUAAGAGCUCCGAAUUUGAUGACGCGACUCAUGCGACAAUUUAAACGACCUCAGGGAAAUGUCAAAAUGUUUUUUUCUUCCUGGUUUUAUUAUUGAGACACAGCUUGUGCAAAAUUGCGCUACAGAUUGUUUACAUUCGUCAUGAGGAAUCAUUUCAGAACGUGGUAUAGUAAAAGUGUCGGGUGGAUGACGUCAAACUGGUGGGGACGUUUUCUUCCGUGUUUGGCGUGUCUGCAGUCUGACAUGCUACAAUCGUUCAGGAUUCAGUGUGAGCCAGCCUUAAGCCAAACACAAUUAAAAAAGUUACAAAAAAAAUAAAUAAAAACUGACCCACUGCAUCUGUGAUAUUCGUUUGCUUAGUCGUAAAGUAUGGAAUAGAGUGGAGGAACUAUGACGCCUUGUAGGCCAAUCGACUGCUAGCAUAAAACUGUUUCCCUCGAUAAAAGUUUUAACACAUGUACCGUAUGUUUUAUUAACGUGCCUACAUAUUAUUAUCCUCAUAUGAUAUAUAUAGCAAUAUGCUAUAAAAUUUGAGAAGUGUAAAUAUUGCAGUUAUGAUGGAGUAAAAUGUUUCAGAAGAAGAAAAAACGACGAAAAAUCGUUUGAUCACGUUAAAAUGAUACUUUAAGUUUAUGCACUUUUACAAUUUAAUUCACACAUUUGCGUAACUAAGAGCAGGAAAGAGACAGGCAGCCGUCAGCAGAAUAAAAUCAUUAUACAGCAGUAUAAAAUAGAUGAUCAGCAAAUUAAUCUGUCAUGACUGUCUCUAAAACUGAGGAAAAUACUACAAACUAUAAAAUACUCAUUGACUUUGGGACGAGGGAACCGAAACUGCUAAAAUGCUAACUCACUUCUGGGGUUUUGCAUAGAAAUUGACGUCAUAGUUCCUCCACUCUAUACUGUUUCCACUACUCAUUUGAAUUGAGAUAAUAAUAGUUCAUGACCACUUUUUAGUCAAGUCACACAUUUAAGUGAAUUUUAUAUAAAAUCAUUGUGUACACGACAGACUGUAGAAUUGCUGCUUCACAGACAAUAAUAUUUGAGCAAUUUUUAAAACAUUGAUCACUUUCUGGCUAUUAGGCAUAGAUAUAUACAUGUUGCGAUCAUGAUUUUCUAAAAUAUACCAUCGCUUUGAAAACGUUUAUUAUUACCAGUUGUUGAGUCUCUAUAUAGUUUGAUAGAGCGCUUGGACCCGGAAGCUGCUUAGUGUGACGUCACAACAAAUGGAUAUAAUAGUUUAACAAAUAAGUUAAAUAUUGAUUGAUUUUAAUUUCAUAUACUAUACUUGUGUUUUCAUCUAUAAAAUAGUUUAGUUCCUCAACAAAUCAGAUUUUUACUGAAUAGACUGAGCCUAUUAUUCAACUGAUCCACUUUGUUAAUAAAUGAAUUAG